rnacentral:rRNA from 1 species
GACGAACGCUGGCGGCGUGCUUAAUACAUGCAAGUCGAACGGAAAGGCCCUGCUUUUGUGGCGUGCUCGAGUGGCGAACAGGUGAGUAACACGUGAGUAACCUCCCCUUGACUUUGGGAUAACUUCAGGAAAAUGGGGCUCAUAUCGGAUAGGAGCUCCUGAUGCACGGUGGGGGUUGGAAAGUUUCGGUGGUUGGGGAUGGACUCGCGACUUAUCAGCAUGUUGGUGGGGUAGUGGCUUACCACGGCGUUGACGGGUAGCCGGCCUGAGAAGGUGACAGGCCACAAUGGGACUCAGGUACCAGCCAGACGCCUACGGGAGGCAGCAGUGGGAAAUAGUGCACGAUGGGCCGAAGCCUGAUGCAGCGACGCCGCGUGCGGGAUGACUGCCGGUGGGUUGUAAACCGCUUUCGCCUGUGACGAAGAGUGAGUGACGGUAAUGAGUAAAGAAGCACCGGCUAACUACGUG